rnacentral:rRNA from 1 species
UACGUAGGGUGCGAGCGUUAAUCGGAAUUACUGGGCGUAAAGCGUGCGCAGGCGGUCUGUUAAGACCGAUGUGAAAUCCCCGGGCUUAACCUGGGAACUGCAUUGGUGACUGGCAGGCUUUGAGUGUGGCAGAGGGAGGUAGAAUUCCACGUGUAGCAGUGAAAUGCGUAGAGAUGUGGAGGAAUACCGAUGGCGAAGGCGGCGAUCUGGGUCGAUACUGACGCUGAGGUGCGAAAGCGUGGGGAGCAAACAGG